AGCAGGCGAAGCCAUUCGUUCCUUGUCCGCACAGACAAAAAGACAUCCCGGUCCCCGGAACCAAGAAGAGAUUAAGGAUCUCUGCUUUUAUAUAAUCACGUAUUCUGCCUCACUUUGGAGAAAGCUGCUCUCGCACAGAGAAAGGGGAGCGAUAAUAAAGGCGCCGCUGAGGCACGCUGGGUGUUGUGGGUCACAGAAGUUCUGCUAUUAAGCAGAUUUCACCCACCUCGUGUGUCUUCAGCCUGUCUGCUCUUCUCUCCCUGCCUGUUUUACUCCCUCCUUCUCUCUCUCUCUCUCUCUCUCUCUCUCUUUUUUUUUUUUUGUCAGCGCGCUCACUGUGAGGAGAGAAAAUUAACUUACGCCAGGGGACAUAUGUGCAUGUGUUAAGCCAGGCAGGAUUAAGCCGUGAUGGCGCUAGCAGAGCCAUCCAAAGAGGUGCUCCCGUCCUGUGCUGUUCCACUGACAGACGAUCAUCCGCUGCUUCUUCGCCCACCGGUUAUUUAUACCACAGCUGUUGUGCAGUUGUUGUCAGACGGGCUGUGAGGGAAACAGACAGAUUCCUUCUGGUUGUUAUCGGACAUUAGCGCGUCGUCACGUGCUGUGUUCAGGGUACGUUUAAAGUUUGCGGCCGGUCAAAGGUCGUUGGGAUAAGGAUUUAUGAGACCCUGCGACGUGACUCAGCCUUUCUUCAUCCUCCAGGAGGGCGCCGCCAGCUGAAUUCAUAUCCAUGUACUCUGUUUUCAGCUCCUGCGUGUUGUGAUGAAUUUGUUUAUGAGGCCAGUGGGUAAAUCUACAAGGCCGCGAGACAGAACUGUGAUGCGAACAGAACGAAUGAUUUGCGGGUCGCAUUUUGAAAGAUAUGGUAAUUGAUGUUUGAUUUGUCACAUUGUGACUGAUGAAAAGCAAUUCCCAGUCUUUUUUGUGUUGCGUGGCUAAGGGAAAAAAUGCUGAUUAGAUGCCGGGGUCUGCAUCCCGCAGAUCAUUACUGGGGGUAUUUGUUUGGAUGAAAAAUCGCGGGAGUGCACGGUAUUGACCGUACAACAAUGCACAAAUAGAGGCGGACUUCAAGUGCGAAAUGUGGCCGAGAGAAGGAGCCGGCGCUCCAGGAAAAUGAAAAAUGUCUGCUCGAGUUAAUCGAGGACCUUCCGCGCCGCGGAAAAAAAGGCAGAAUCUGUAAGACUGCGCCUGGAAACAGGCAGGACUCAGUGAGCUCCUCUGAGCUACUUGUAAACACUCACUGUCAGGAGUGACCUGCUCGGCCCCCACCGGUGGGCAUGAAAUGUUGAUUUAUACCUCUCACUGGGAAGCUUUUCUAAGGCAACAUGUGUGCACUGUUGUGUUUAUUUGUGCCAAAGGUUGCGCUGAGGGGGAAGCAGCACCUCAUAAUGUUCAUCCAGAGCUGCAGUGGUUUUAGGCAACGAAACACACAUCUCCUUCUAUUAUGAGCGGCCCAGCAUCCACUGGAAGGGGAUUUCUUCAAGGACGACUGAGCCUGAGAGGUCGGUCUUAAAUAGGACAGAAUGAGCUCACUGGACGGAGGAGAGUCACCUUUUCUCCUCCCAUCCUCCCUCUCUCGUCCCUUUAUUCCCACUUUCGUAACCACCACCGUCGUGUGAGGAUCCGGCCGUACCUUGAAGCCAGCUCGUCAAAAUAAUGACUUCCAGCCAGUUAUAUUGCGAUGAUUAGCGCCGGCUGGAAAUUGAGUCAGUGAAGUAUGAAAGUGUUCAAAGGACUGUUGUCGGAGUUUGGAGAGAGGAGAGGAGUUGUCCUGUCUCCUGUGCUCCACAACAUGAUUGCUUUGUCACUGCACCUUUGUGCGUUUUAGCUCACCUGUAAAAUCCAUUUGAAUACUAAUACUUUGCAGUCUUUGUUAUGUGUCUCAGUAGACCCUUCAGAGGACAAGGGGAGCUUUUCUUUUUCAUCCCCGGCUGGUGGUCGUGGUCACCGCGUCCUUUGAGCGACGCUAAAACAGGUCCUUUUUGGGGGAAACAUUGUUGAGGAGAGUUAGUUUCGUUUCGAGAUAACAUCCAACUAAAUUGUUGUGCAGCGUAAUAGAUUCUCAGCGUCGCCUCCAUCUUUCCACUUCAUUACUCACUUGAAGCUCCAACAUAUUGGACGGCUAAUGAGGAAGCAUGGCUUCAGUGCGACAGUACAGGAGGUGGACGCUUGAGUCAAACCCGCACGCGUCCGUGCGUCUUCAUUAUCGAUUCUGACACACACCAGGUUUUUCCACCACAAGAACAUCCCUUUCUAUCACCGUAAAGUCCGUUCAGCUGUGUUUUAUGGCACUGGGAGAAGCAGAAGAAGAGAGAUUGUUCCAAAGAAGCACUAGAACACAAUAUAUUCCAUUUUACGAGCUGCUCUCACUUAUUCUCCAUAAUAAGUGAAGCUAGAGCAGCUUCUGAUUAACGUCAGAAGCCUUAACUUAACAUCCAACACUUUAAUAGCUCUUUGUACGUCUCUUUCACAAAAUGUCACCUACAUUAAAGGUAAUAUUAAUAUUUGUCAUGAGCGUAGCCUUCGUUUUUGACCGUAUGAUGUAACACAGACGUGCCGCUUUAUUUUGAGGCGUUUCAUCGUGUCUUUGAUAUAUUUCCCCCGGUUCCCCGACAGUUGCGUUUCCCACACCAGGGAAAUCAAGCAAAAGCCAACAACAAUUAAAUGUAUAAGAUUUAUAAGCAUCGUGCACCGAGUCAUACUGUUGCUUCCUAAGCAAUAAAACAUCACUAGUACCUAUAAUAAAGGCGGUGGCGGCGUCCGUGGAGGAUCUGCAGCAUAAAAAAAGGAUCAUCGUUCACUUCGAUGAUUCACGCUUUCUGGUGGCAUCUCACACACACACACACACGCACACGCACACACACACACACACACACACACACACACACACACACACACACACACACACACACACACACACACACACACACACACAAACCUGAAAUUCUCCCUUCAAAGCCCCAUGGGUUGACAGCUGUCUGUGUGAGGGGCUCAAAAAGCUGACUUGACAACACCAGGACAAAAACACAGCCGUAAUAAAUAAAGGAUGUGGAAACGCGUAUGCAUUGGGUAAAUAUUCUUUACGGCCUUAUGUUAAAUCCCAGUGAGAACUUAGUGCAUGGACUCCAGCAUUCCAUCUGACAUCAUAAACAGCUGUAAAGUAUUGCUCUUAUUACCUCCUUCCUGCAUGGGGACCCGUGUGACGGAGGCCCCUCAGGCCCGAUCCUGUGGGUCCGAUCCUGUGGGCCCGUCUGCUGUCGCAUGAACGAUGGCGGCAUCAGUGGCACGCGGCGUCACCGUGCCCCCAAAUAUAAAGAUGAAGCAUGUUUAUUCCCACGGAGGCCACAGAGCACUGGCCGUGGGGGCAGGAGUGAACGGCUGCUUGAUCUCCGAGGUCCGACUUCAGUUAACGGCUUGACCCUCGCAGCAGCUGGCUGUGCUGCUCCGCAGGCUCCUGUCUGAUGCCUCUGCUGCGGUUCUGUCUAUUGACCUCCGCUGACAGACGCAUUAGCGUCCGGACGCCAUCGAGGCAUAAGUGAUAAAACCGAAUUUUCAGCACUUAUUUGCUAAUUUGAGCACGGAGCCAUCAGCAGAAGUGGAUUUAUAUUACAGUGGAGAGCAGCGUCAUUAUGACAUUCUCUCUUUUUUCCAAAAUCACAUUUCCUGGUUUCAGCAGCAGCAACGUGUUGCUCUUCAUCCACCAGGACAGAAAGUUCUCCGUCUCUCGUUGACUUGUUGACAAAUCGGUUCAUGUCGCGCUGUAAUACGCUGGUGCGACCGAGGCCCACGGGCCGCGCGUCAUCAGUCAUUUGGGCUGUUUCCUCUCAGCUGACUGAAACUUCCAGGGGAGGCAGGAGCCCAGCGUGCCUCACAUAUUGAUCCUUCUGAGAGCCGCGUGCGAAGAAAUGUGACUUUUCCCGAGAGCGCCCGCCGCGCUUCCACAACAGGGCCUGUUUUUCCUUUAUGCUCCAAAUCGGCGAACCAUGCGCGUCUCCUCCGCGGCUCAGAGCCGCAUUUCCAUGCGGAUCGAUAGCGCGCUAACGUGCGAAGCGCUGCCACGCGGGCCGAUCUAUGAGCGAUGACAUUUAUGAACGAUGGCUUGACCAGAAAACAAGUUGCUCUCGUGCUCCUGCACUCAGUUGUCUGCUGCCGCAGCUCAUCAUGACUGCAGUAAUUACGGCGGCUAUAAUUAAUUAGCUGCUAGCUGAUGAGAAUUUCUCAUUGUUGACUCCGGUGCCCUGAUUGCUCUCGAAAUAAUAUCAUUACUCGCUGCUGGAGAUCUAUUGGAUUAUUUUAUUUUGCUUCGAUUAACACGAUUUCCAUUUUCAUGUUUCAUGCAACAUGUGAGGAUAUUAUUUGUAUUCGUCUCCGUGUAACGUUGUGUUGCAUUCAUCCACAACGCAGCCGUCUCCUUAAUGCUAUGGUGAUUGUGUAGUCAGAUGCAGCGAGUAUUGUCGAAGCAAAUAGUUUUGCCUGGUUGGACUAACAUUUAAAACCGAUUUUAACACGUCCCUUGCUUUGAAUGUACAGUACGCACGAACGAACGCGUCACGCAUCGGUGGCAGAACAAACUAGGAGGCAGCAGCUUCUCCUUCAUUUGACUCUGAAGCGGCGUAACUUUUUGGGUGCACGGCAUCUAGAAGGUUUGCCUUCCUCAGUCUCAAGGAACCGUGGUAGAAAAUAAGAGAAACGAGUAAAACAUGAUCGUGAAAGACAUUUCUAUGUCGGUGGCCGCGCUGAUCAGCAGAUUUAAAGGUCUGGUUGUUAAUUUGAGUCAUCAGUCAACGUGGACGCACUCAAAUGCCAUCGCAAUCAAUCGUCUCCACGUCACUAGCGUGGCUCAAAAACACAUUUGAUUCUUUCUUCCAUUAGAUAUCGCUCUCUCAUGCAGCGGACGACUGUAAAUGUGGGACUGACUCAAAAUACAGCAAACGGCGCAGCAGUGGCUCAGUGUUGCAGACAACAAGGAGAGGCGGCUCCACACAUCGGCUCAGGUGCGCGUGGCGCCCGUGUCGCUGCAUCCUCCACCACAACGCCUCUGCGUUGACCGCGCUCAUAACAAAAGCGUGCGUAACCUCCCUUCAGAGCUCAUUUGCGAGUCAUCAAAGCGGUCGUUAGACGUCUCGAUGAGGAUUGACCCGUGCGUCCUGCCCCGCGUUGCUGUAUGAGGAGGUUCUCCCCGCACAGAUCGGGUCCUGCAUGUGUGUGCGUCCACAGUGGAGCCAGGCCUCUCUGGUUGGAGAUCACCGCUCCGUGGAACCACAAACCCAGCAUUUCAGUCCUAUUCAUCCCUCUUGGCGCUGCCAGACUCUCUUCUUUUACUCCACUGGCAACAGGAGGUUCAGCUGAGAGCAGCCGCUCGUUCCUCCGGAGAGACCUGCUGCGUGUGGGUGGGAGGGAACGCGCCGCGACCUUGGGAGUAUCGUGUGAAGGUCGCGCUGGGAUGUCUUCUGCCUCGUCGCUGCUGCUACAGAUAGCUUCAGAUUCAUUUAUAGGGCUAUUAACCCCUUAAAGCUGUUCUAAUUGAUGUUUUUCCCUUAACAAUGGUUCAGGUCACAUUAGCGGCUGACAGACACUGCUUUCAUUUGGCGAGCCAGUAUGAACCAGCCACCACCAGGCUGAUAAACACAGCGAGGCCCUUAUUUAUUUAUUUAUUUAUUUAAACUACAAGCAGAGUAACCACUGACUGUGCUUUUGUUGGGCGAACACAAACAAGUCUGAUAUUUUAUAAUGUGAACAUUCACCGUGAUUGCAUGACAUCGCCUCUGCAGAUGUGCCAGCUGUGGUUCUCGGCUGGAACGUGAGAAUCCACUGCAGCCGCUGACCCGUGUCCGCGCGCGUGCUUGCAAGCGCCGGCGCCGAGUCGCUGGCUGAUUGGAUAAUUGCCCGGAUGAGCGCGCGUGCAGGUGUUCGCGGCUAAAGCCCUAAAAAGGUGCUCGGCGCGUGCGAACCGGCGGCUCGCUAGCAGGUUCGCGUUGGACCCGACGCCAUUCACCGGCGGCAGAACUCGAUGUUUACAGCGUGGCUCCAACAUUCGGGUGCACUUAGUAACGUCCUUGUCUCCGUGAGGAUUCAUAUGAAACGUGAAUAUUAAGUCUAAGAGGACCCACAGCCAUUGACAUAGUAGCUAAAUAUUGAAAAUACUGCAGUAAUACCUGUGUCCUUCAAGCUUUGAUGACAAAAAGCCUCCCUUUGCAGCAGCUGCAGCUUCCAGCUUAUAAUAAUAACCUGCCCAACUCCUUUCUUCCCUCAAACAUCGCUCCUGACAUAGACUCUGCUCGUUUGUUGAAGCCGCCGCGAAGGACCUGAAAGGCUUUUCAGGCCGGAGCGCGUGCGUGCGCUUCUGUGCGGGCGGCGCCGCGAGGCGUUCGGAGAACGGCCUCCGUCCGUUCGUUUCUCAACGGGAGGGAAAAGGUGGACGGCUUUUCAGCAGGUAUUGUUCCUGAGCCUGAAAUCAAAGCCACAACCGCCGGUGCUCCACUGAGCCCGGAGAAAAGCCGUUUGUUUCUCAGCCGUGCCUCAAAUGGUUUUCUAAUGAUGGGUUAGUGUAAUAAAUUGAUGAAGGUCCAUUAGCGAAUUUGAAACCCAGAACUAAUGUUCACUCUGUGUAAAUAUUCCAAUAAAUAAACAGCUACAAUAGUCA